GGAAUCUUGGACAAUGGGGGAAACCCUGAUCCAGCCAUGCCGCGUGAGUGAUGAAGGCCCUCGGGUUGUAAAACUCUUUCGGUGGGGACGAUAAUGACGGUACCCGCAUAAGAAGCUCCGGCUAACUUCGUGCCAGCAGCCGCGGUAAUACGCAGGGGGCUAGCGUUGUUCGGAAUUACUGGGCGUAAAGCGCGCGCAGGCGGUUCUUCAAGUCAGAGGUGAAAGCCCCGAGCUCAACUCGGGAAUUGCCUUGGAGACUGGAGAACUUGGGUUCGGGAGAGGUGAGUGGAAUUCCGAGUGUAGAGGUGAAAGUCGUAGAUAUUCGGAAGAACACCAGUGGCGAAGGCGGCUCACUGGCCCGAUACCGACGCUCAGGCGCGAUAGCGUGGGGAGCAAAC
rnacentral:rRNA from 1 species